GGCGGGGCGGGGCUUCGGGUCUGGCCGUUAGCUACCCGAGUGCACCGCGGCCUUCGGGUUCGGAAGCGAGGCUGAGGCCCCCGGAGAUCUGUGGUCCCGAGCGGGGCGCUCCGAUGGCGGGAGCUGGGUGCCAAACAUUGGAAAGGAGCAAAUAACGGAAGAGAGAAGAGCGUUGAGGUGACCUCUGCGGGUAUUUAUCAGGAAGGCAGCUAGAAAAGGAAUCGCGAAGGACCGAAGUGGAGGUGGGGCGAAGACCGCGCUCCCCGAGCGUCUUUUCUGCACCCUGGCGACCAGUUCGGCGCUUGCGGAGACGUUUGACAAACCGGAGCUGUGCCUCAGCAGCCAGCGUUUUGCUCUGAGCGGUUGGUCCUUGCCUACCUCCGUUUAGAUGGAUUGUGGGAUGAUUAUGGGAACGAUUCUUCCUUAAGCCGAAUCAAAGGGAAAGUCACCCUCACGCUGCAUGUAUUUUUCGGCCAUUUGUUGGCCGAAACAAGACCAUGUGUUGGCCAGGCUAGUCUUCAACUCCUUACCUCAGGUGAUCCACCUGCCUCGGCCUUCCAAAGUGCUGGGAUUACAGGCCUGAGCCACUGCGCCUGGCCUGGGCCCUUAUUUCUUCGUGGGAUCUGGAUUGCACUUACUAUUGAACACCACCUUCACCUUUACUAAGGGUAUGUGCAGGCCAGAUUACCACAGCUUCCACUACUUACACUAGAUUUGCAUAUCCAGUUAAAUACAUGAGCCUCUCUAGAUAUUUGUAUUUGUCUGGUUUUGUACAAAUACAUAAAAACACCAAUAAGAAAAGUUUAAAAAAUUAUAAAAUUUUGUAGUUUAGGGAGUCGUGGACAAUUGGAAGAGACAGUCUCUUUGACCUUAAGGAAGGGGAGUGUUCAACUGUAAGUGAUUAAUUGAAAGAAUAUUUAGUGAGUGCCUACUAUGUGCCAGGCAUUGUGGAUUUAAGAGUGCAAGCUGCAUCUGGUUCCUUCUCCCAUAGAACAUGCUGCAGAGUGGGAGAUACAAAUUAGUGAAGAGACAAGGAUGGUACGACAAUAUGACAUAGUAUGACAUGACAGCAAGACAUAGAUGGGAAAGUUCAAGGUAGUUUAGGAGCAUGCACUUGAAUGGGUUAGAGGAUAUCUCAGGAAAAAGUGAAAGUAUCUACUGAGGCCUAAAAAAUCAGGAAGACAUAACCACAUAUGAUGAAAGUAAGGAUGUUCCAAGCAGGGGAAGUAGCAUGUACACAAUCUCAGGAACAAGGACACGAUGUGUUACCAUAUUAAGUUUGGUGUUCUCGAACAUAAAGUAGUGGCCGGGGACUUGAGAAGAGAUGAGGCUAAAGAGAAAAGCUAGGACCAGACCUAAAGGGCCUGAUAAGCAAAUCUUAGAUUUUUAAACUAAGGGUUCUGAGAUAAUCAGCAAGAUGACCAAAGAAAGCCUGGGGAUUGCUGGCUAGAGUUAAAAAGACUAGAGGCAUGGAGACAGACUAGGAAGUUGUAGUAGUAAUCCAAGUAAGAGAUGCUGGUGGUCUGAGUGAGGGAAUAAAAUCAGGAAGUCUUGGUUAUUGAUUAGAUGUGUGUAGUGAGAAAAGAAAUCAAGAAUGAAUUUAGGUUUCUAAUCUAGUGAUGGUCUACCAGAAAGAGAAUACAGGAGGAAGAAGCAGUUUAUGAUGGUUGUAUUGUGGACAUGUUGAGUUUGAGAUACAUGCUCAAAACGUGGUACUACACACUGAGUGUAUUAAUCAGGGAUCUCUAGAGGGACAGAAUUAAUGGUAAAAAAUAUAAAGGGAAGUUUAUUAAGUAUUAACUCACAUGAUCACAAGAUCCCACAAUAGACCGUUUGCAGGCUGAGGAGCAAGGAGAGCCAGUCCAAGUUCCAAAACUGAAGAACUUGGAGUCCAGUGUUGGAGGCGCAAGCAUCCAGUACGGGAGAGACUUGUAGGCUAAGAAGCUAGGCCAGUCUCUCUUUUCACAUUUUUCUGCCUGCUUGUAUUCUAGCUAUGCUGGCAGCUGAUUAGAUUGUGCCCAUCCAGAGUAAGGGUGGGUCUGCCUGUCCCAGCCCACAGACUAAAAUAUUAAUCUUUGGCAGCACCUUCACAGACAUACCUGGGAUCAAUACUUUGUAUCCUUCAAUCCAAUUAAGUUGACACUUAAUAUUAACCAUCACACUGGGUAUUGCUUUCAAGCUAGGAGAGAGAGCUGGAUUGGAGAUAAAGAUUUGGAAGACUUGCUCACCAAAACUUUCCCUCUCAAGACCUUUGUAUUAUUUAUUUAUUAUUCUGUCUUUGAUAGACACACUUUUCUGAACCCAUAUUAUUUGCCUCCCUCUGUAGCCCUUUCAGUAAUUUUUUAUUAUUCCUUUGCAGUAACUUUCCCAAGUGAUUUGUGUUACAUGGACUUGCUUCUUGAAUUCUAAAGAUUCUUCAAGCAUCAAGUGUAUUAUUUUCAGGUCAGACUCGAAAUAACAACAAUCUCUAAACUGAUUUUACAGUUCUGAAAUUAAAACCCUACUGACUGGCCCAUGAACUGAUUUUCUCUAACGUCAGCAAAAGUCAAGGAGUAUUUCCUUAAAAGAGAAAGCAUUUACCCAGAAACCAUAUAUUAAAGUCUAGGCUGAAAAAUGCAAACAUUAGUAAGUUGUUGUUCCUACCCUUCAGAAACUUGGGCAGUUGUAAAUGCAUAUUUAUAAUUAAUAUAUACCAGUAAUGGGCAGUGGGGCAUUGGAGGAAAGGAUGAAGUUCCUUUAGAGGAUGACAAAGUAUUUUGCAAGUACAGAGGGAGAGGAAGGUCAUUUCAAAUAGUGACUCAUGGAAGGCUAUAUGGAGAAUAUGGCAUUGUAGAUUGGCCAGAUGGAACCAAAAAGAAUAUAAUAGGCCCAGCAUUUACCCUAUCUUAAGAGGUAACACUAUACAACACUGAUUGUUUUUUGCUAUGUGGGAGUAUUAUAUGCCUGUUGUCUAGUUCUGCUAUUUUAAACAAAACUGGAAACUCAGAUUUUAUAUGAAAUCUCUUGAUUUUAAAGUAUAGCCUCUCUUUUCUAAGCAUUGUGUAGACCAAAUAAAUAACUUUCUGUGAGCCUGAAGCAGUCAACAAAAUACGGUAACUUCUGAUACAGGACUUUUUAAUGUAAAGGAUAUGAUCUUAAUGCAACCAAUGUUUGUUCAGUAAAGUACUGUGGAAGGUAUGGCUGUACCAAGAGCUCAUUCCCUACCCUUUAGGAAGCUCUGCUUAGUUGCCGAGAAAAACCAGGUAGAGACUACUUCUAUUUUUUCAAUUUUACCUUAACUAUCACAGUGUCCUAUAUAUGUUGACCCUGAAUAUAUAUCUGUUCUUUGAUAUUUCUACAACACAAGGACAUCCAACACCUUGCUCUUUGUUUUCCUUGACCUCAUCAGUGCUGUUCAUCUCUACCUCCCCCUCACUCUAACAUCCCAUUCCCAUGGUCAUCUCCUUCUCUGCCCAACCCCUACCCCUUUACCAUAUACUUUUUUGGGUAUAUUCAACCAUAUGAAUUAGUACCUACAAAUAUUCUGGUGUCCUACUGCAGAUGGCCUCUGAGUAGCAUGUGACAGUCCUCUGGGGAGCUUCCUUUUACAUUCCCAUAAGUGACUGUUCCAUAACCUCACCAUCUGACCCCAUCCUCCACCCCACACCUGUUUCAAAGGUGACCUCGCCUCCAAAAUCACAAAGAAAGUGAAAGCUAUUCGGUGCAAAUUUCUUAAUUUUUUCCUCUUCCCAUCUGCAGUAUAAUGUAAAGGUUAAGGACUAGGAUCUAGAAUCAGACUGCCUGGGUUCAAAUCCUGGCUCUGCCACUUGCUAUCUGGGUGGCCUUGGACAAAUUACUUAACCUCACGUAGUACAAUAGGGUUGUUAUAAGGAUAAAGUAAAGUAGUCCAUAUAAAGUCUUUAAAAGAAUGCCUGGCACAAAAUAAGCAUUCAAUAAAUAAAUAUUAGCAAUUCUUCUUAUCAGUGGUAUUAUUACAAUAUUUAAUAUUACAUUAUUAAUAUUAUUAUGUACUUACCUGCAUCUUUACCUUUCUUCCCAUUCAUGUUUUUCUAAUGCCAGCUUCUCUAUCUCUACAAAGGCUGACCUCUCAGACCUUUGCUCUCCUGUAUGUUUAAUCUCUCCCUGUCUCCUAAUGUUACCCCUUAGCAUGUGAUAGAAAACUGUCUUAACCAGUUUUCCCUUCUCUUUCCCUGUCUAGCCCUUCUUUAUAGCAACACUAUUGAAAGAGUCAUUAGAACUCCAUGCUUCCAAGUUCCAUUCACCUCUAAAUGAAAGUGAGUGAAGCCCACUGCGAUUCGGCUUCCACACCCAGUCUACUGAAGCAGUUGUUACUUAAGAUCAUGGUUGAUCUAAUUUACAUAUGCAGUUGGCCUAGCCAAACCUUUAGCCAGGAAGAACCCUGCCACCCACUUCUUUGGGCCUGCAUUGAGCAGCUGAACAUUGCUGGAGAAUAUUGCAUAACUUUUUGUCUGGCCUUGCUUCGUGAUUUCAACCUCAAAUUGGCACUUAAUGCUGCCCAACAGCCCUUCUUUGUUUCUCUUGUAGUUCACUGUUCCACUCCCCAAGAUGACUAUUUUAUACCUUUCAUUCUGUUGUCAAGCCUCUCACACCCUCCAUACUCCUAGCUAAUGUCUUUGUUUAUACUUCAGACCAUAGAAGUAAUUAGGUAAUGAACUUCCUCACCGUCCUACCACGAAAACCUACCAAUCUGCUGGAACAUGAACUCAGCUUCUCCUUAUUUCAUGAAAUGGAAGAAGCCCAGUUCCUCCACUAGAGUUCAGAAUCUCCAAGCCCUCUCACCUUCUAUAGUUAUUUCUCUCCCUCUCCCCGUGUCUCUUAUUAGGAAUCACUUCCUUUCUGGUAAGACUGUUCUCAUCAGCUUUCAGGUCCUUCCAUGAUCUGGCCCCUACAAAUUUAUCUUCUGCCGCUCUCAGUACUUCCUCACUCUGCUCUAGCCAACUGAUCUUCUAUCUGUGAAGUACUUGCUCAUUUCAGAGACUUCACACUUGCUAUUUCCUCUGCCUGGAGUACUUGCCUCUCCCCAAUACCAAACUGUGCACGUGCGUACAUACUCAUUCAUCACACACUGGUUUAGUUCAUGACUUAUAGGUCCCAGAUUAAAUGCCACCUGCUCAGAGAGGCCUUCCUUGACUGCCUUAAAGUUGAUCCCUGCCAUUUUUCUUCAAGUCCUUUGUUUGUUUCCCUCUUGGCACUUUUUACAAUUUAUUUAUGUAUUCUGUGUAUACCUUUUUAAAACUCCCUAGAGUGUGAAUUCUUUUAGGUCGGGCCCUGGGAAUUCAGGUCUAGUUCAUGGCUGAAUUCCCAGGGCCUAGAAUAGUGUUCAGCACAUAGUAAUACUUCUGACCCAUCUCUCAGUGAAUGAUAUCAUCCACUCAGCUACUCAGCUGACCACAAACUUGGGAGUCUUUGAAGUUUUCCUUUCUCCCCUUCAGUUUUCUCACCCCAAGUCCUUUAUCUUCCAAAUGCAUCUCCACCUUCCCUCCCUUCCCAUUUCCUUCUUAAACUCUUUCAGCAGCCUCCUUGCUCUUCUUGGCUUUCACUUUCUUGGACGCUGCCUUUCAGCCUCUUUUCUUUACUGCCACUGUGCAAAUGUUUCAAAAACAGACUCUUAACACAUAUCUUACGUUUCAAACUCCUCAGUGGUUUUCAGUCAUCUGUAAAAUAUAGGCCAAAGCCCUGUGCAUAGCAUCAGGUUCUGGAGGAUGGAGGUAAAAGGGAGGCUUAGACUCAGCCUCUUCCAACUACUGAGCAUUCUCUCUGACUGAAAUGCCCUUUCUCCUCUUCACCUACCCAGUGUGUACUCCCACUAUCCUUCAUUAAUAGAAAUAAUAGAAAUACCAACAUAGAACAAACUACUGGUGUUGAAAUUUAGAAGUCUGGAGAUCACUGAUCCAGAUUAUUAAUAUAAGGAUACUAAUGCCCAGAAAAUAUCACUGACUUGCCCUAGGGCACACAGCUACUGGGGGGUCAAAACUGAAAAUAGGCUCCAUGUCUUCUGAUUUCUCAUCAACACUUGUCUGACAAGGAGGAGGAAGAGGGUUUUUAAGUAUGAUGAAGAUAGAAGGGAGAGCUGGGGCAUUCAAGUAAAAACCAAUAUGCACAGAGAGGCAACUGCAACAAAUGUACAGAACGAAGUAAAGACCAAGGACAGAAAGUAUGACACAUCUUUGCUGUGCCUCCAUUCAGUCCCUUCCUAAGGCCAGUGUCAGGAAAAUAAGUGAAAUACUUUGAAAGAAAUAAAAAGAUUAUUUACUGACUGUUUUGGAGUUAUUAUGCUAUUUUACAACUCUCAGUUGAGAAAUCCUGACAGUUAUUCAGGUCACUAUUGUUCAUGGAAAUGGAAAUGCAAGUUGUGUUCAAUGGAGAUUCAUUUUAUUGUUAACCUGUGGAUAUUGCCCAAUUUUGCUAAGUCAGGAUUCUUCGUUACUUAUAUAUGUAUAUUUUAAAUUCUCUUUUGAAUCAGUUGUAACAUCUUACUAGUUUCCCAAUUUAUUGAUAAGUUAAGUAAUAGCUUUGAUGCAUGUUUUUUAUACUUGUAUAAGAAUCUCCCAGGAAAACCUAUAUCUGAGGAAUGUAUGCCUAUAUUUGCUUAAGUUGAAAGAAAAGAUAGGGGGCGCUGGGGGUGGUGGAUUAGAGCCAUUGUUGGCUGUGAGUAGGUAUCUCAGAGACAAGCCAGGCUGACUUCCUUAAAAUAACUAGAUUGAAAAAAUUGGAAAAGUAAAGUACCAAAUCAAAACUUGUUAGACUUUAAUGAUGUUGGUAUGUACAAAAUGCUUUCUCAUUAUGUAAAUUAUGUAAAUAUGUUUUCUCCUUACUAUAGAACCUCUCCUAUAAAUAGCUAUUAUAAUCAAUCUUUAGAUACAUAUUUCAAAAUUAUUAUUAUAAUUGAAAACCAGAUCUAGCAAUAAUAGGAAAGUAAUAUUGACAUUCAAGCGAGAGCUAGAUACUAACCAAACCUUUCCUUCUUGUCAAUUCUUGUUAAAAUAUAUGUUCUGGUAGUUACUUUCUUCUGGAAAGUUUAAAUGACUUCAUUUUCACCACGUAUAUCUCUGUUGGUGCCUGCUAAGUGAUAAUUUUCUUCGAAAUUUUAAUUUCAUGAGUCUCAAUGAUUGAAAAUUUAUUAACAGCAGCUGCCUUGUUAUUGUUAUUACUGUAGCUUGUGGAUAAUUGCACUGGAAAAGACAAAAGAGAAAAGGGAGACCUGUAAUAAAAGACCAUUUUCUAUAAUGUUUGCAAUUUGCUGUGUAAAUUGGUGGUUUUAAGGGUUGGAAGACUGCAGGAGUCUUCCCAUUAGCUGUAUUUUAAGAUGUAAUUAAAAUAUCACUUACAUACCUAAACAAGGAAAUAGCAAAUUAUACACACAAAGGUAAUUUGGACUAGAUUUCUUAAGGCCAGAUAUAUGAAAUACCAACAUAAUUUUUCCUUAAUAAUUUCUAUAAUAUUCCCUUUCUGAGGAAAUGUCACCCCAGCUGCUGUUAGGGAGUUUAGGGUGAGGACUCUUUCUGGCUAUAUCCUGCUGAAAAGGGGCAUCAAGGCUAGGGCUCCUCCUGGGGUCAAUCUAAGGGUCCUCGGAAGAAUGGCAUGUCCAUGUGUGGUUCAGUUUGGGAGCACCAUUUGGUUUGAUUGCUUCUAGAUGAGAGGAAACAAUUUGAGUUAUAGUAUUGAGUAUUCAAGGUCCAAAUAUUACUAUAAGACAUACAAGCAAGAGGGGCCUUAAUAAAGUAGCUAACCAAUUCUAUAAAGAAGACUGAAAUUCAUUAAAGAGGAAUUGUAGCCUCUUGGGGCUAAAGAUUGCAUGUUCUCGUAGCCUGUCAAUGAUUUUUGAUUUGAUCUUUAAGUACCAGUAGAUUUUCCUCUACUUUACUAGAGGUGGCAAUCCAGAAGCAUCAUGUUUCAUUUAAAAGUGCACAGGUACCUCCUACUUCAGCUGUAAGGACGUCUAAGGCCCGUCUAUUCUGCGCUACAACUGAGGUGAAAGAGAAAAUCUAUAGAUUGCUAUUGUGCCUUUAUGGCACCUACAGUUGCCUUUCACCCUCAUUGCAUCAUAAUAGAAAUAUUAAGUACUGAUCUUUCAGGGAGAGGGAUCCCCAUAAACCAGACUAGAGCCUGGCUGUAGAAUUUCCCAUUCAUGGUUCUUCUAAGAUGGUAUGUGCACGCCCUCCCCGGUCUGCCCUUUCAGUUAAAUCUCCAUAUGAGGGCAUAGAAAUUAUAGAUCUCUUUGUCCAGCAUAUUCAAGAUAGUGUAGUCUCUAGAAAAGAGCCUGAGUUAGGGAUGACCCCAGAUGAUGCUGCCAUCUUGGUAGAAUUUAAAAAUAAGUCAGGAGCUACUGCUACUGUAGUACAAGUUCCCUCCCAAUGCCUUGUGAGGACUAAGUGUAUCCAGGAGCCACAAAAAAAAAAAAAAAAAAAAAAAAAAAAAAAAAAAAAAAAAAAAAAUUAGUCCUGUUCUUUGAAGGCAUGUUUCUAAAUUGUGGCUUGUGAGAGACAUGGGCAGAUUUUUCUCAUAUCUUAAAAAUUUUCCUUCUUUACAUAUAAUAGGGGCAUUCUUGGGAUGAGGAUAUCCAUAUUUAGGAUAUUUACGAUGUCAUUUGGGAUUUGACAUGCUGAGUGAGAAGAGUCCACCUGGCAAAUGGAGUUUUGAAAAAUUAGAGACAUAAUAUGCCCUGGUCAAUAUUUCAGAUGAUCCUGUGGCAAGGGCUUUUAGUCCAGAUGUCUCCAGUUUGACCACAGAUGUGUAAGCCACUACUAUUAGCAAACAUCAUAUAAGCGUCUGGAAUCUAAUGUGGGGACAUGUUCAGAAAGGCCCAUGUGUUAUUCUUUACAAUAUAGUCAAGGUGGUCACUUAGAGCAUGCCACUUCCAUUGGGACUUCCAAUAAGAAUGAGAGUCUAGAUUCUUAAAGCCCUCCACUAGGGCUUCUGAUCCUUUUAGAUCACCCUUGCUGCACUCUCCUCCCCAAAUCUUUGAACUAUUAGCAGUUACAGGUGUGAUGUUACAAUGUCUGAGAUCUCCCACAUAUGGCCCUUCCCCGCUGCUUUUAAAGCAGAGGGAGGCAUUUGCUAUUACUUGGUUGAAUUUUCCCAACCUGAGGAUGUGAAGCUUAUCUUUGAGGAGGGUGUUCUUUGGCACUGGGAGAAGAGUGUUCUCUGGCACUGGGAACAGAGUGUUCUCUGGCACUGGGAACAGAGUGUUCUCCCGAGAGGAGUUAGUUACCUAGUUGAAAGUGUUCCCAUACCAUGUCCAAUUUAUGCCUGAUAGGUCUUUAAGGCUUAAAGGUAAAGCCAAAAAAGGGAAUCCUAAGACGGUGAGUUCUGGGUCAUUGGAAGUUUCCUUACUGUCAUUGGACUGAGCAAACCUCUUAGGACAGACCCAAAAAUUAGUCUUGUUGUACAAAUGGGCCAUGGCAGAUAUUGCAGGAGCUAAAGGGUGUGAUGUAUUACUAAGUGAUUAAAAAGUCCUAUCAGACUGAGGGUUAGUAAAACGCAUAUGUUUAGUUCCUUUUAGUAACUGUUAUUCCUGCUAUGAUGAUAA